AGAGUUUGAUCCUGGCUCAGAACGAACGCUGGCGGCGUGGAUAAGACAUGCAAGUCGAACGCUGACAUUCGGGUAGCAAUAUUCGGAUGUUGGAGUGGCGCAAGGGUGUGUAACACGUGGGCAAUCUGCUAUAAAGCCUGGGAUAACUCGCUGAAAGGCGAGCUAAUACCGGAUGUGAACGCAAGUUCAAAGUUGGGGAUCGCAAGACCUGACACUUUAUGAUGAGCCCGCGGCCUAUCAGCUAGUUGGUGAGGUAACGGCUCACCAAGGCUAAGACGGGUAGCUGGUCUGAGAGGACGACCAGCCACACUGGAACUGAGACACGGUCCAGACACCUACGGGUGGCAGCAGUCGAGAAUUUUUCUCAAUGGGGGAAACCCUGAAGGAGCGACGCCGCGUGGGGGAUGAAUGGCUUCGGCCCGUAAACCCCUGUCAUUUGUGAACAAGUUGAUUCACCUAACACGUGAAUCAUUGAUAGUAGCGAAAGAGGAAGGGACGGCUAACUCUGUGCCAGCAGCCGCGGUAAUACAGAGGUCCCAAGCGUUGUUCGGAUUCACUGGGCGUAAAGGGUGCGUAGGCGGUUAGGUAAGUCUGACGUGAAAUCUCCGGGCCUAACCCGGAAACUGCGUUGGAUACUAUCUGACUCGAGGAAUGGAGGGGAGACUGGAAUACUUGGUGUAGCAGUGAAAUGCGUAGAUAUCAAGUGGAACACCAGUGGCGAAGGCGAGUCUCUGGACAUUUCCUGACGCUGAGGCACGAAAGCCAGGGGAGCAAACGGGAUUAGAUACCCCCGUAGUCC
rnacentral:rRNA from 1 species